rnacentral:lncRNA from 1 species
AUCUUUAAUUAUGUUUCCCUCCACUAUUAUUAUUCCGCGUGUACUCUCGUGCAGCUGACGUUUCGAAAAUAACAACCGCAAACGGCAACAAAAAAUAAGCACCACCGACGAAGUGCGAAAACAAAAAAAGCAGUCCCCAGCUAUCCUUUUGUCCCUCUACUACUGCUCCUGCCGGCAGCAGUGCAGAGGGUAUAUGCCUAGGGAACAAUUGUAACUCCUAGUGAAACAACGAAACGACUGAAAUCUCACGCACUUCCAACUGCAUGGUGCAAUUCAACAUAAGUUUACAAGCGAAGGUCAUCAUUUUAACUUUACAGAACCCGGGCCAAUUUUACCUUAAUCAUGUCGCCGACUUCCCAAUCCACCUUCAAUUGCUCAGAUCAAGUCCGCAUCCACCAUCAAAUUGAACAGAAGUUUGUUACAACCCCCGUCAAUGGAAUUAAUCUCCAGGAAACGUGUCCCCAACUUCUAGAUUAAACUGCCUGAAUAAAUGGAGUAAUUGUACAAGCACCAGCAAUAAGAUUUCGAGUCAAGUACACGAACAAACACCUGGCACUGGGUUUGGGGCACACUUAGCACCACCAGGCAAAGCAAAAAACCGGAUUGUUCAUAAUGCAAAAAUCUUCAGCUCGUGCAAAGCUCCAUGUUCAUAUUGCCAAAAUCUUCAGCUCGUGCAAAGCUCCAUCAGAUCCAUCACCACAGCCAUGAACAGUCCUCUUUUUUCCGGAGGUACUUAUAAACAUUUUAAAAUAGAGCAUACCGCAAUUUUGAAACUUUCCACAAACCCAACAAUUGGCAGUGAUUAAAUAAACAAGAUAACAAGACCAAUAGUAGAAUCCAUCAUCAUGCGUCUACUCUGAAACCCUCUUACAAGCCCGACAGUUGCUAUUGCUCAACAAACAUGCUAAGCAACAGACUAAAAAAUAAGUGUUCCAAAUCAUUGUGUGUAUAUAUAUAGCAAUACUCAAAUACAUAAGCAAUACAUAGACAAAAGUGCACAAAUUUGGAGUUGAUCGUUGAUAACAGAUCCAACAGAAAUUCAUAUCACGAGCUAUGAAGUCACAGCAGUUAGGGCAAACGAGAUUGUGUAACAUAAGUUCAAUGGAACAGAAAUACAGAUCCAUUGUGCAAUGUGUCAUCUUAGUGAUUCGAGGUUUUUAACCAGAUGAACAGAACCAAACCGUAGCUGCAAUCAAAAUUUGUGGGCGCAUCUGAAGAUUGAUUUACUGGUUUCGUGAAAAUUUGGAGAAGUGUUCUUUGGGGUCCGGGGAGCCAUGGGAAUUUCUUUUCUUGACAACUGGUAUGAGUAAAGUGUAUUAGAUGCUUAUUCAUGGUGUUUAAGGACUAUUAAUUAAUCCGCUAGUACGCGAGAUGACAUAAUGUAAGCGUUGCGUAGAAUAAAAGAACGUAAAGGAAAUUGCAGGCUAAAUUACCGGUUGUACCUUGGGAGUUUCGCUGUAGCUCCAGAUUUUUGCAGCUGCGCCGAGAUAGAUGAUGCACGAUUUCCGUAGCGCAGAGGAGCAGCGGAGAACGGAAAGCAACGGACACAGGGACACCAAGGGGGGAGGAGAACCCGGGGCCAAAAAAAUCAACCCCCGUGCGAUCUCCUCCCAGGGACACAAGAAUAUCUUUUUUAUUACCGUGGCCUGCCAUGCGAGCGCACCCGUCAUGGCAAAGGCCUCUCUCAGGUCACAUCUUUUUUUCUUUUUUUUGUGCCCUCAACGCACGCCGACUCAACGACGACUCUUACAUGCUUCACCUUACCUCGCCUCUUCAAGGCGGCGGGUCACAUCUCUUGGAUCUACUAAUAAUUAUCGAAAUCCAUCCAAUAAUUAUCAGCACAGAGAGAUCCCGCGCGGUGGAGCAUAGGAAGAGAUCUUGCCGGCCGCCACGCCCCGUCAACUCCGCCGCCGCCUCCAGCCAACCUCGAACGGAACAACACGAUCACGCCGCGGUCCGCCACAUCUGCAAGCCGAAACAACGAAACGCAGCAGAUAAGCACAUGCGACGGCGAGAUGACCCCCAACCCCAACAGGAAACCACAAGAAUCAAGGGGGGAAAUACUAACCGGUACAGAUUCCAGAUCGCCAUGAACGCGGAUCCGUAGCCUCCGUGCGCAGAUCAAGAUCCAGGCUGCCGCAACUCGAUUCACCCGGCAGCACGCUCGAUCCACCGGUCAGACCUGAGCCUGCGCAUCAGAAAACAAACGGAUUUUUUCGAACAAAUCGAAACAAAGCAACCCACCGUUCCGCGAAGGGGGCAAGGGAUUCGGCAACAUCAAAGGGAAGGAGCUCUCGGCGAGAUCUGGAUCUCGAGUUGACGUGUGGGGAACGAGCACGGGGCCACGGCGAAUUCUAGAUCUGGAGGAAGGGGGGGGGCGCGGAGGUUGCGUGCAGGAGGGGGGACGCGCCUGCCCAGCCAUGGGGUUUGUUAGUU